GCUGGGAUAGUUCAGUUGGUAGAACAUGAGACUCUUAAUCUCAGGGUUGUGGGUUCAAGUCCCACAUUGGGCA